rnacentral:tRNA from 1 species
GGGUCUUUAGCUCAGAUGGUAGAGCGCCACGUUUACACCGUGGAUGUCAUCGGUUCGAUCCCGGUAGGACCCACCG